rnacentral:rRNA from 1 species
AACGAACGCUGGCGGCAUGCCUAACACAUGCAAGUCGAACGAGACCUUCGGGUCUAGUGGCGCACGGGUGCGUAACGCGUGGGAACCUGCCCUUAGGUUCGGAAUAACUCCCCGAAAGGGGUGCUAAUACCGGUUAAUGUCUUCGGACCAAAGAUUUAUCGCCUUUGGAUGGGCCCGCGUUGGAUUAGCUAGUUGGUAGUGUAAAAGCCUACCAAGGCGACGAUCCAUAGCUGGUCUGAGAGGAUGAUCAGCCACACUGGGACUGAGACACGGCCCAGACUCCUACGGGAGGCAGCAGUGGGGAAUAUUGGACAAUGGGCGAAAGCAUGAUCAAGCAAUGCCGCGUGAGUGAUGAAGGCGUUAGGGUUGUAAAGCUCUUUUAACCGGGAUGAUAAUGACAGUACCGGGAGAAUAAGCGCCGGCUAACUCCGUG